rnacentral:other from 1 species
ACAGCCCUGCUGUGUGCGAGAGCUACUGUAUUUUUUGAGCCAACACCGAUGAAGAGGGAGCCAGGCUCCGGUUGUGGCGAAUAGGCCCCAACUUAGGUUCGGGGGACAUUCAAAGUAGUCGGGCGGGCACCCACCUGCCGAGGGCAGGUUCAAAAAAUAUGGUCAUACGGCACGGUGGGGCAGCU